ACGAACGCUGGCGGCGUGCUUAACACAUGCAAGUCGAACGGAAAGGCCCUGCUUUUGUGGGGUGCUCGAGUGGCGAACGGGUGAGUAACACGUGAGUAACCUGCCCUUGACUUCGGGAUAACUUCAGGAAACUGGGGCUAAUACCGGAUAGGAGCUCCUGCUGCAUGGUGGGGAUUGGAAAGUUUCGGCGGUUGGGGAUGGACUCGCGGCUUAUCAGCUUGUUGGUGGGGUAGUGGCUUACCAAGGCUUUGACGGGUAGCCGGCCUGAGAGGGUGACCGGCCACAUUGGGACUGAGAUACGGCCCAGACUCCUACGGGAGGCAGCAGUGGGGAAUAUUGCACAAUGGGCGGAAGCCUGAUGCAGCAACGCCGCGUGCGGGAUGACGGCCUUCGGGUUGUAAACCGCUUUCGCCUGUGACGAAGCGUGAGUGACGGUAAUGGGUAAAGAAGCACCGGCUAACUACGUG
rnacentral:rRNA from 1 species